UUUGCUACGUAGAACUCUUCUAAUCACUUUUCUUAAACUCUUCUCCUUGGUGAUCCUGGUCUGGAUCUAUCACAUGUCUCCCUACAACGAGUGCUGCGUGCCGCCGGGGGUGAUAUGCCCUGAGCCGUUUGCCCUCACCUCCAGUGAGACCUGUGUCGUAAAAUAUCCCGAUACAAUAGUGGACAUAGUGGACCCUGACUUGCCACCAUAUUCUGUGAUAUAUCCUGGCCCAACUCUCACCACUUUCCCUCAGCAAACCAUAGUGGGAUCUACUGCAUUGUUCGAUAUCAGAAACUUACUUGGUUCCAGGGGAUCUCAUGGGUUUAGGGGUAUGUGUGGUUCUGGGACAGCAUGUAACUCAGGAUUAUCAUUUUAUGAUACAGGAAACUUUAAUCCUUUUUCUCCUCACUUGUCCAAACCAUUUUGUAAUAGAACUUGCAGGCCAACCUAAACCCAACAUGGAUAUCUGUGGAUUACAUGAAAAGCAAAACUGAACAGUAAGACAGAUCAUGACUAAGUUUAUGGAUAAUGGAUCAUAGAAGUGCUGAGCUCCCACAGUUCCCAGUGGAGUCAAUAAAAGCAUGGCUUCCUGGCACUAGACCUGCAUGAGGACUAGAAUUUCCAAACUACAAGAAAUUGAAAUUUCACUAUUGAUCUUAUUCAAAAUUAGGAUGAAAUAAAAAAUAGAAUUUUCCAAGAAACAAGAUUUUUAGAAAAAAUUUUUUGGUUUGAUAAAAAUGUAUCUCUCAAUAAAUUCAAGUUUUUAUGCCACCAUUGACUUUUUAUUAUCAAUUUCUCUCAAAAAGCAUAAAAUUUUAAAAUUAUAUGACUGAAAAUCUUGGGUUCCAAAACUAAAUUUUAUCAAAAUUCAUAUUCACUUGUAUCUUUUACUGAAUCAGCAUUUACCAUUAAAAAAAAAGUCAGGUCUACUUGGCAUUUCUUAAAAUUAGGCAUUUGUAAGUCUUUCUUGUGCUUUAUUUCUGCUUAGACCCAUGAUGUAAUGGUUUCCCAGCUUAUUUUUCUGCCUAUAUCUCAUUUGAUGCAAGCCAGGGCAAAAAAAUGACUUCAAGCAAUUGUAAUAGCAGAUUUCUUUGUAAAAUACUUCUGAUCAAAGAAGAACAAUCUGUGCAAAAUCAUGGAACUGGAGAUUCAUUGUAGACCCUCAUGAAGUCCUGGAACUCUUCUGAUUAUAUCCUAUCCAUCUAAUUUUGCACAUGUAUAUUCAGCUUCUCAUUCCCAUUAAAUACUGUCAUGCAGCAUG